AUAAAAAUUUGGAAAAACUUCAAAUAGUCCUCUUGUGGCCCUGUGGUUUCACUUUUUCUCACUUUAGUACUCUGUGGUUUAAAGUAUAUCAAAUUAGUACCUUAUGGUUUCGCAGUUUCUCACUUUAGAAUCAUGUGGUUUAAAGUGUAUCAAAUUAGUACUAUGCGGUUUUGCACUUUCUCACUUAAGUACCCUGUGGUUUAAUAUUUCAUUAAGAGAAAAAUAAAACCACAGGGUACUAAUUUGAUAUAAAAAUAAAACCACAGGGUACUAACUUGAUACAAAAAUAAAACUAUAGAGUACUAACUUGAUACAUUUUAAACUAUAGGAUACUAAAGUGAAAAAGUGCAAAACCACAGGGUACUAACUUGAUACACUUUAAACUAUAGGGUACUAAAAUGAAAAAGUGCAAAACCACAU
rnacentral:lncRNA from 1 species